GACGAACGCUGGCGGCGUGCCUAAUACAUGCAAGUCGAACGCAGUGGGGACGGGUGAGUAACCCGUGGGUAACCUCCCAUCAGAGGGGAUAACACUUGGAAACAGGUGCUAAACCGAUACUGAUGGAUGGACCCGCGGGGCAUUAGCUAGUUGGUGAGGUAACGGCUCACCAAGGCCACGAUGCAUAGCCGGCCUGAGAGGGUGAGCGGCCACACUGGGACUGAGACACGGCCCAGACUCCUACGGGAGGCAGCAGUAGGGAAUAUUGGGCAAUGGACGAAAGCCUGAUCGAGCCACGCCGCGUGAGUGAAGAAGGUUUUCGGAUCGUAAAGCACUUUUGUUGGGGAAGCGGUAUCUGACCAGGAAGCCACGGCUAACUACGUGCCAGCAGCCGCGGUAAUAC
rnacentral:rRNA from 1 species